UACGUAGGGUGCAAGCGUUGUCCGGAAUUAUUGGGCGUAAAGAGCUCGUAGGCGGUCUGUUGCGUCGGCUGUGAAAACCCGAGGCUCAACCUCGGGCCUGCAGCCGAUACGGGCAGACUAGAGUUCGGCAGGGGAGACUGGAAUUCCUGGUGUAGCGGUGAAAUGCGCAGAUAUCCGGAGGAACACCGGUGGCGAAGGCGGCUUCCUGGACCGACACUGACGCUGAGGCGCGAAAGCUAGGGGAGCAAACGGG
rnacentral:rRNA from 1 species